AUUGAACGCUGGCGGCAUGCUUUACACAUGCAAGUCGAGCGGCAGCGCGGGGGGCAACCCUGGCGGCGAGCGGCGAACGGGUGAGUAAUGCAUCGGAACGUACCCUGGAGUGGGGGAUAACGCCGCGAAAGCGGCGCUAAUACCGCAUAUGCUCUGAGGAGGAAAGUGGGGGACCGCAAGGCCUCACGCUCUGGGAGCGGCCGAUGUCCGAUUAGCUAGUUGGUGGGGUAAAGGCUUACCAAGGCGACGAUCGGUAGCUGGUCUGAGAGGAUGAUCAGCCACACUGGGACUGAGACACGGCCCAGACUCCUACGGGAGGCAGCAGUGGGGAAUUUUGGACAAUGGGGCAACCCUGAUCCAGCCAUGCCG
rnacentral:rRNA from 1 species